rnacentral:rRNA from 1 species
UACGGAGGGGGCUAGCGUUGUUCGGAAUUACUGGGCGUAAAGCGUGCGCAGGCGGUUUUGUAAGUCAGAUGUGAAAUCCCCGGGCUUAACCUGGGAACUGCGUUUUGAAACUACAAGGCUAGAGUGUGGCAGAGGGGGGGUAGAAUUCCACGUGUAGCAGUGAAAUGCGUAGAGAUGUGGAGGAACACCGAUGGCGAAGGCAGCCCCCCUGGGUCAAGAUUGACGCUCAUGCACGAAAGCGUGGGGAGCAAACAGG